rnacentral:rRNA from 1 species
GAUGAAUGCUGGCGGCGUGUCUAAGGCAUGCAAGUCGAGCGACGUGUUUCCCGCAAGGGAAAUUACGAGCGGCAAACGGGUGAGUAACACAUUGGUAACCUGCCUUCAAGACGGGGAUAGCUCACCGAAAGGUGAAUUAAUACCCGAUAGUAAUGCGUUGACGAGAGUCGGUGCAUUUAAACUUACGGGGCUUGAGGAGGGGCCUAUGGCUUAUCAGCUAGUUGGUAGGGUAAAAGCCUACCAAGGCUAUGACGAGUAGCAGGCGUGAGAGCGUGACCUGCCUCACUGGGACUGAGAAACUGCCCAGACACCUACGGGUGGCUGCAGUCAAGAAUAUUCCACAAUGGGGGAAACCCUGAUGGAGCGACGCCGCGUGUAGGAUGAAGGCCUGGUCGUAACUACUUUAUAUGGUACGAAUACGUGACGGUACCGAUACGAAUAAGACACCGGCUAACUACCGUGCCAGCAGCCGCGGUAACUGUAUCGUACG